UGCUUUCCUUGGAAAUAGAGAAUUUCUUUCCUUGGAAACAGAAGAUGUAGAGAAAAGAUAGAGAAAUUGAAAAAAAAAAAAGAGAAAAAAAAAAGAAAGAAAAGAUAAUGCCUUUGGUACUUGGUAACAUUUGUGAAAUUGUAUCUCCUUUCAGCUUUUGUUGAGAAACUGAUGGUGUUCAUGGGAGAAAUUGAAGCAUUCUAUUUCCAUGGUUGCAGCAGUCAAGCCAAAGAAUAAUAUUAGAAGAGUUGUUUAAUCGCCUCAUGAGUAUUCUUGAUCACGUAAUGCAGCUCAAAACAUUGAAGGUCAAGGGCAUUGAGUACAGAGUAUAACUCUCUCCCAAACGAAUCUUCCCAACCAUUUGACUAUGAUUGAGAUGAUUUUUUCAUGGUCUCGAGGGCUGAUGUGAAUCCUACGUGAUUGAGGAAUUCAUGAUUUCGACGUGAUUGAUGACAAGCGAUGAGUACAUAGUCCACUUCAGCUUAUGGGCUAUUCCAAAGGGCUGUUAGGAGGGUGGAUUGUAAAAGUCAGGGGUGUGCUGGGGGAGGUAUGUCCAUAGAGUAGGGGUUUGGGCCCCCCUUCUGUUUUAUAUUUAGGUGUGGCUUCACGCAAUGGUUGUUGCAGGCCUUCUACAGUUUGUUGUUAUAUUGCAAUCUAGCAUGAAAUCAGCACUCAAGGAAGACCUUUACUGGUGUGCUGCAACCCUUUCCUUUUUCAACAAACAGGUGAUGAGUUCUGAAAUAGAACAAAUACCUGCACACACAUACCAAUAAUAAAACAAUACAUGCAUAAAGAAUGUCAAGAGCAUGCUUGAUAUAGGGAAUGACACUCUCUACUUGAGUUUUUCUCGUAGGAAAAUAAAUAGCUUUGCAAAUAAUCCAUUGUCUCAUGAGUUGCUUCCACUGUUCCACAUGAAAAUCUUUCAUUGAAACUCUCAAGAUCGUUUUUGAUAGAAUGAUGAAAUUUUUAUUGAAAAUUAAUUGAAAGAAGGAAAGCUAUCCAUUAAGAUAAUCGACAACUAUUACCAAUUAGAAGAGAGUCCCUUACUUUCAUAUAGCUAUCAGAUCAAUAAAUAACCAUUUUG